rnacentral:rRNA from 1 species
GAUGAACGCUAGCGGCAGGCCUAACACAUGCAAGUCGAGGGAGAAGCCCUUUCGGGGGCAGAAACCGGCGCACGGGUGCGUAACGCGUAUGCAACCUACCUUUCACAGGGGGAUAGCCCGAAGAAAUUUGGAUUAAUACCCCAUAAUAUUAUUGGAUGGCAUCAUUUGAUAAUUAAAACUGCGGUGGUGAAAGAUGGGCAUGCGUUCUAUUAGCUAGUUGGAGUGGUCACGGCACCCCAAGGCUACGUUAGGUAGGGGUCCUGAGAGGGAGGCCCCCCACACUGGUACUGAGACAGAGACCAGACUCCUACGGGAGGCAGCAGUGAGGAAUAUUGGGCAAUGGUCGGAAGACUGAACCAGCCAUGCCGCGUGCAGGAAGAAUGCCUUAUGGGUUGUAAACUGCUUUUAUAUGGGAAGAAUAAGGCGUACGUGUACGUUGAUGACGGUACCAUAUGAAUAAGCAUCGGCUAACUCCGUG